GAUGAACGCUGGCGGCGUGCCUAAUACAUGCAAGUCGAGCGAACAGACGAGGAGCUUGCUCCUCUGACGUUAGCGGCGGACGGGUGAGUAACACGUGGAUAACCUACCUAUAAGACUGGGAUAACUUCGGGAAACCGGAGCUAAUACCGGAUAAUAUAUUGAACCGCAUGGUUCAAUAGUGAAAGACGGUUUUGCUGUCACUUAUAGAUGGAUCCGCGCCGCAUUAGCUAGUUGGUAAGGUAACGGCUUACCAAGGCAACGAUGCGUAGCCGACCUGAGAGGGUGAUCUGCCACACUGGAACUGAGACACGGUCCAGACUCCUACGGGAGGCAGCAGUAGGGAAUCUUCCGCAAUUGGCGAAAGCUUGACGGAGCAACGCCGCGUGAGUGAUGAAGGUCUUCGGAUCGUAAAACUCUGUUAUUAGGGAAGAACAAAUGUGUAAGUAACUAUGCACGUCUUGACGGUACCUAAUCAGAAAGCCACGGCUAACUACGUG
rnacentral:rRNA from 1 species